rnacentral:rRNA from 1 species
AUUGAACGCUGGCGGCAGGCCUAACACAUGCAAGUCGAGCGGAUGAAGGGAGCUUUCUCCUGGAUUCAGCGGCGGACGGGUGAGUAAUGCCUAGGAAUCUGCCUGGUAGUGGGUGAUAACGUCCGCAAACGGGCGCUAAUACCGCAUACGUCCUGAGGGAGAAAGUGGGGGAUCUUCGGACCUCACGCUAUCAGAUGAGCCUAGGUCGGAUUAGCUAGUUGGUGGGGUAAAGGCCUACCAAGGCGACGAUCCGUAACUGGUCUGAGAGGAUGAUAAGUCACCCUGGAACUGAGACACGGACAAGACUCCUAAGGGAGGCAGCAGUGGGGAAUAUUGGACAAUGGGCGAAAGCCUGAUCCAGCCAUGCCGCGUGUGUGAAGAAGGUCUUCGGAUUGUAAAGAACUUUAAGUUGGGAGGAAGGGCAGUAAGUUAAUACCUUGCUGUUUUGACGUUACCAACAGGAUAAGCACCGGCUAACUUCGUG